AGGCCUAUAGUUCAGUGGUAGAACGUACUGCUCAUAACGGUUUUGUCGUAGGUUCGAAUCCUGCUGGGCCUA
rnacentral:tRNA from 1 species